CUCAAAUGAAGGUGUAGAACCAUCUCAAGGAUGAUCAGAAGAAAUGUACAGCACCUGAGUUAAAUAUAUGAGUGUCACAGCAAAGGCUCUGAAUACUUAGGACCAUGUGAUAUUUCAGUUUUUCUGUUUUAAUAAAUCUGCAAAAAUGUCGACAAUUCUGUGUUUUUCUGUCAAUAUGGGGUGCUGUGUGUACAUUAAUGAGGAAAAAAAGAACUUAAAUGAUUUUAACAAAUGGCUGCAAUAUAACAAAGAGUGAAAAAUUUAAGAGGGUCUGAAUACUUUCCAUACCCACUGUAGAUUAAGUAUAUUAUAGAAAAAGUAUAGAAAAAAUAUAGAAAAAGUAGGCUAUAUAAAACAAAACGUUUAAUAAAAUUAAACACUUACGGGACACGAGACAAUAAAACAUGAAGAAGCAAAUGGUUGUUGUAUAACCAUGUUGAAAAGCACACACCUGUGUUGCCAUCCGAAACUCAUCGACGCCAUCUUGUGCGCCUAGCCUAGGGGCUAAUAAUCUGGCGAGGGUUCAGAAUUGGGCACAAUAAGCUUUGUCUGAUAGAAAAGAGAGGACGUUUAAAGACAAGAUUCUCUCUGUAUGUUUAAAGAUGCCAAAACCCUCUGAUGUGAUGAUAACCACGCCAGUAUACCAGCAACAGCAGUAUGAAAUCUCCAAGUUCCUGAAGACCAAGCCACUGGCUCUGGGGAUUUUGGUAGUACUGAUAGCCUUAUUGGCACUCGGUUUGACGCUCCAUAAUGAGAGUUUUCAUCUUCUCUGGUCACCAAUCAUUUCCACUAUAAUUGGAGCCAUAACAGUCUUGGCUGCAUACACACGUAAACCACGUCUGAUUUUUCCGAAUGUGACCUCCUAUGUCCUUAUCGCCUGUGAUAUACUGAUCUUCAGCUUCUCUCUUGCUAUUGCCGUAACCUCCUGUUCCUGUUGCUGCAAUCCAAAGGUAAACAUUAUCGUCAACAGCAUCAUGCUAAUGGGUCAGCCGGACUCUUCUGCAGUGGUACAGUCCGUUAGUUCAGUCAUGUACAUGCUGCCAGCAGCACAUGGCUUAGUAACACCUGCUCCUCUGCCAAAUUGUGGUCUUUUCCCAAAUGCAUCUCCACCAAUCUACAGUCCAGUGCCAACUACACCUCCACCCAGCUACGAUAAACUCUCAGAUGCACCACCACCAAACUAUGGUCCAGUUGCAAGAACACCUCCACCAGCAUAUGAGGUAAUUAUGAGCAUUUAUGAGUAACUGUAGGCCUACUACAUCAGAAAAUAUAUUUAAAAACUGUUGAAACACAUCAAAACCCAUAAAUCAUUUUUGCUUGCUAACCUGUUGCAAGUGUGAUACUGCACAGCUCUGACAGACUGUGUUCUCUUAUUGCAGUAUGAAGAUUUACAGACCAGAAGAUGAACUAGAUCUCAGACGCAAAUUGAAAUGUUUGAAGUUUACACAAUUUAUGGUGUUGGAUUAUGGCGAAUGUAAAACCAAAACUGAUACUUGUGUAAAUCAAAUGGAUGAGAAACACGCAUCAGAGUCCUUUGUUUCGAUCGUUUUGUUUUCACCCAAAUGUAUAAUGUUCUGUUGGAUAUGAUUAUACAUAAUACAUUGUUUUUUGUUUGUCAGUUUUCUUAAUUUAUGUGCAGUUUUUUUGUAAUUCAACACAGUAGGCAGCACAAUGGAAAUUUCACUUGAUUAAUUCAGCCCAGCAUUUACAGACUGAGACUUAGCCUUUAAAAUCCUAGCAAACAGUGUUCAGUGUGUACUUUUAAAGAAAAAAAUGUUUAAAUUUGUAUCACUCAAACAAGUGGUUUGCACAAUCAAGUCAUAAAUUGACUAUUCAUUAACCUCAGCAGCUCUAUUAUUCAGUUAAUAAAAUCAGUAAAAAAUGUACUGUAACUAAAUUA
ensembl:lncRNA